rnacentral:rRNA from 1 species
GUGAACGCUGGCGGUAGGCCUAACACAUGCAAGUCGAACGGCAGCACAGUAAGAGCUUGCUCUUACGGGUGGCGAGUGGCGGACGGGUGAGGAAUACAUCGGAAUCUACUUUUUCGUGGGGGAUAACGUAGGGAAACUUACGCUAAUACCGCAUACGACCUACGGGUGAAAGCAGGGGAUCUUCGGACCUUGCGCGAUUGAAUGAGCCGAUGUCGGAUUAGCUAGUUGGCGGGGUAAAGGCCCACCAAGGCGACGAUCCGUAGCUGGUCUGAGAGGACGAUCAGCCACACUGGAACUGAGACACGGUCCAGACUCCUACGGGAGGCAGCAGUGGGGAAUAUUGGACAAUGGGCGCAAGCCUGAUCCAGCCAUACCGCGUGGGUGAAGAAGGCCUUCGGGUUGUAAAGCCCUUUUGUUGGGAAAGAAAAGCAGCAGGUUAAUACCCCGCUGUUCUGACGGUACCCAAAGAAUAAGCACCGGCUAACUUCGUG